rnacentral:rRNA from 1 species
AACGGCCGUACCAUGCUGAAUAUACCGGUUCUCGUUAGAUCACCGAAGUCAAGCAUCACUGGGCGAGGUCAGUACUUGGGUGGGUGACCACCUGGGAACACCGCGUGCCGUU